GGAAGAAGGCCACUUGCAUCAUCAAGGCAUGUGCUUGAUUAGUGUCUCUCUGGACUGAAGGCCCAGCCAUGGGACAAGGCAGUAUUUACACAAAACACAGGAGGCAUGUUAGAGCAGGAAAUACAAGGGCACUCAUCCUAAGACAACAAGCAGCUUGGCUGAAAACCACAGAGUGUUUUCAAGAUCCUGCUGCCAUUGAGACAAAGCCCCCAUUGAAAGAUGUCGAGUGAUUUGAUUGUCUCUGGAAAAGCUGGAAAUCAGACAAAAUUUAUUCCAUUCUUAAGAAGCCUUUUAAAAUUAACCAGCCAAGUUAACUACAAUAGUAUUCCACAGGCAAACAUCUAGCUUUAUGUCUACAAUUCUGUAGUAAAUGCUCCUAAACCCUUUACUUUUCCGGGGAUGCUGCUGUCUAGUCUGGACUCUGUGGUGCCUGGACAAGUAAUGAACCUGGAGCAUCACCAUAGGCCAUGACCUGGAGGAACUGAAAGAGCCUUUCUCAGCUGGGGUGUGAGGUGUGGCAUGGAUAAAGAGGGUCCUGAGAGACACUGUGACAGUGCUUGGGAGCCAAGGCAGAAGACUAUUGAAAAGGGGCCUCGCACGCUACAGACCAUAUGUGAGAAUUGCUUUCCUGAACGCAGUAAUAAACAGCCACGAGAUGAAAUAUCCCAAGUAAUGAGAUUAGUGACACGGGAUACAGCUUUCAGAAAUAAUUACAUCUGACACCCUCAUCAGCAAGAAGAUGUAGGGGCUGCAAGCUCUAAGCUUGGGAACAGCAUAUGAAAGAUUGGCUUCUCCUGGGAAGGGAGGCACAAGGGAGGUUAUUUUUAGUACUUUGGAGAAAAAAAAAAAAAAAAAAGAGCCAGAAUUUAAGCACUCUUUGGUUUGAUACUCUCGUUAUAGAGGAGAUCAUGGAGAAAUAAAGCAAAAGCGGCAGUGGAAAUGUUACUGAGGAUGGAAACUGUGGGAGCAAGAGGUUGAACUGAACAAAGCGGGAGCGGUAGGGUCAGAACGGAACGGGGUGGGGCGGCGGGGGGGGGCACUCCUGUCCCCCCGCCACUCCUCCCCGUCCCGUCCUCGCUUGUGCCCGUCGAUACAAUAACAACCCAGCGACGGCGGAGCAGGCGGUUCCGUUUUCGCGACGGUAUAUAUAGAUCAGACACUUUCCAAAACAAGCAGCGCCGCCGAGUCGUUCUGUUCGGCGG